CAGGGCUUUGCGCUUCCUAGAUUUUUGCUACCAGUUCUACCACUGCCAAUCAGGUCCUCAGAAUAACCUGCUGCUGGGACAUCCUAACCCAUUCCUCAGCUAUUCACGACUAGGCUUCCUGUGCUAGAGGAUUAAACCACCAUCAAAUUUUUUCAGACCUUUAAACUUUAUGCAUUCUAUUUUUCUCUCUGGACAGCCUCCAUCAUCAUGUGACUUUUAUAAGCACAGACCUAUAAAUAAUUCUUUCUAGAAGGUCCUCAGGCCAGAAACAUGUUUCCAGCCUGUAGCAGAAUGGGGUGUUAAGAUGUGAAUAUGAGAUCUCUGAAUGAGCACGAAUGUUGAAUCUCAGAUGAUGGUCCUGACAUUGAUGCAAUGAAAGCUUUGGAAGAUGAAGCACACCUACAAGAAGACUGUGAGUCUCCCUCUCAGGUUAUAUCUGCUACCUCUUCGCUUUCUUUUCUCUCCUUCUUGUCAGCCUUAAGAUGAAGACAUUCUAGUAGUGCUCCCAUGGAUAUGAUGCUGUGCCCAAGUACACUGGUCAACAAACUAUGAGCUGUAACCUCUGAAACUAUGAACCCAAAGAAAUAUUUUUCCUUCUUAAGUUGUUUUCUGGACAUCAUAACUAUAUGAACAUGGUUAACGCAGGUGGUCCUUAGUGGAUAUUAGCUGGAUGAACUUACCAUUUUAUGUAGAAGAUUUACGUUGGGCUAUGUAUGUGCCCCAAUGUUUUAUCUUGAGUAAUGCUAUUAUGUGUA
rnacentral:lncRNA from 1 species